rnacentral:rRNA from 1 species
AGAGUUUGAUCAUGGCUCAGAACGAACGCUGGCGGCAUGCCUAACACAUGCAAGUCGAACGUGAUCUGUUCCUUCGGGGAUGGUGAAAGUGGCAGACGGGUGAGUAACGCGUGGGAACCUGCCCCAAGGUAGGGAAUAACCGCGGGAAACUGCGGCUAAUACCCUAUGUGCCCUACGGGGCAAAGAUUUAUCGCCUUGGGAGGGGCCCGCGUCGGAUUAGGUAGUUGGUAGGGUAACGGCCUACCAAGCCUACGAUCCGUAGCUGGUCUGAGAGGAUGAUCAGCCACACUGGGACUGAGAUACGGCCCAGACUCCUACGGGAGGCAGCAGUGGGGAAUAUUGGACAAUGGGGGCAACCCUGAUCCAGCAAUGCCGCGUGAGUGAUGAAGGCCUUCGGGUUGUAAAGCUCUUUCGGCGGGGAAGAUGAUGACGGUACCCGCAGAAGAAGCCCCGGCUAACUUCGUGCCAGCAGCCGCGGUAAUACGAAGGGGGCUAGCGUUGUUCGGAAUUACUGGGCGUAAAGGGCGCGUAGGCUGUGCUGUAAGUCAGGCGUGAAAUCCCCGGGCUCAACCUGGGAAUUGCGCAUGAUACUGCGGCGCUGGAAGGCGGGAGAGGAUGGCGGAAUUCCCAGUGUAGAGGUGAAAUUCGUAGAUAUUGGGAAGAACACCGGGCGAAGGCGGCCAUCUGGCCCGCAAUUGACGCUGAGGCGCGAAAGCGUGGGGAGCAAACAGGAUUAGAUACCCCCGUAGUCC